GCUUAAGCUGAAUUGUGUUCAAUUUAAAGGCAUGCAAACUUCAGUAACACUUUGAGUUAUGUUUAAUGCUUUUCUUGUUUUAUAAUAAAGUGAUGAUUAGAUCAGAGACUGACAUGGGCGGAGGCAAAUGCUGGAAACCACAAUCUAAACUUUGUUCCCAUAAAAACUCUUGGCUAAUUUGCAAGUGAUGCACGGAGUCCAGUUGAGCUGUACUCGGCCAUGGAAAAAAGAAAGGAGAAGGAGUUCACCCUCCGCUUGCAGAGGGAUGGUGUGUCCCCUGAGGCUUCAGUAGAGGAGCGUGAGCUGCACCUGUGGCGUUUGCUCCAGCGCAGUGAGGGCAGCCUGUGUGCAGCCACUGAAGACCUGCAGACUUUACGCACCCAGCAGGCCAGCGAGAUGAUAGAGGUGGAAAAUUACAUGGAGCAUAUUCGAAACAUGCUGGAGGAGCGGGAAUCUCUUACAGCAUAG
ensembl:lncRNA